rnacentral:rRNA from 1 species
GACGAACGCUGGCGGCGUGCUUAACACAUGCAAGUCGAACGGAAAGGCCCUGCUUUUGUGGGGUGCUCGAGUGGCGAACGGGUGAGUAACACGUGAGUAACCUGCCCUUGACUUUGGGAUAACUUCAGGAAACUGGGGCUAAUACCGGGUAGGAGCUCCUGCUGCAUGGUGGGGGUUGGAAAGUUUCGGCGGUUGGGGAUGGACUCGCGGCUUAUCAGCUUGUUGGUGGGGUAGUGGCUGACCAAGGCUUUGACGGGUAGCCGGCCUGAGAGGGGGACCGGCCACAUUGGGACUGAGAGACGGCCCAGACGCCUACGGGAGGCAGCAGUGGGGAAUAUUGCACAAUGGGCGGAAGCCUGAUGCAGAAACGCCGCGUGCGGGAUAACGGGCUUCGGGGUGUAAACAGAUUUGGACUGUGACGAAGCGUGAGUGACGGUAAUGGGUAAAGAAGCACCGGCUAACUACGUG